rnacentral:lncRNA from 1 species
GCAGCCCAUGUGGGAGGAAUUUUCCGGAGACCACUGUCUCAUGAACCUGUCUUGGAACUGGAGCCAGCCGAGUUACCCUGACCAUGUUUGAAUUGGGAUAUUGAGGAGGUUAUGGUUAAAAGCGUAUGAUGGAAGACCACGUGUAUAUCGUAUUGUGAGUGAGACUGGCUGGAGGAGUAUUUUAAUUCUUCAGAAAUACCAGCUGGCCUCUUUAAGACAUGGGAUCGUUUCCAGAUGAGAAUCCACGAGGCCUCAUUGACUUGGCGCAGUCCUUCUGGGAUUGUUAAGCAGAUGACUUCCAUCGGUACUGAGCCAGGAGUUGAGUCUUUACAGGCACGUGGCCCAGUCCGCAGUUACAAAAAUGCUCUUUUAAAAACACAACAGCCGUUGCGGAGGACAAUAGAGGCCGUUUGCCUGGUUUCGCUCAUCUGCAUCACAUCUCUAGAGGUUAGUAAAUUUGCAGCUGGUUUUCAAGGGUUUCAGGUUGCAUUUCUAGGUAGGUUCUAUUGAGACGCAGAGAGUGACUCUUAGUUCCCAUGUUUAUCCUAUAAAGUGCUGAGUGGAAUAUCCUUUCAUUUGGUGAGUGUUUGCUGACCGCUGGCUGUUUGUUGGGCCCCGAGAUGAAAGGGGGCAGUUAGGAACUUUAACAAAGGCAAUCUCUCUUGGAAUCCAAAAAUGCUCCUGCUGCCUCAGCCUCGUCCAGUUCAGUGUGCAAUGGGGAAGGAAGAUGAGCUCACAGAUAGAUCAUCGGAAUCCAGGUAGCAGAGUGAAGAGGGCUUGGUUAAUGGGUCCAAACAUGCAGCUAAAUAGAAAAAAAUAAGUUCUAGUGUUCGAUAGCACAGUAGGGGCACCAGACUUAAGCGUAACUUAUUGUAUAUUUCAAAAGAGCUAGAAGAGAAGAUUUGAAAUGCUCCCAACAUGAAUACUCCCAACAAGAGAUGAUAAAUGAUUGAGGCGAUGGAUAUCCCGGUAUCCCAAUUACCCUGAUUUGAUCAUUACACCUUGUAGGCAUAAUACAUCAGAAUAUCACUUUUGCCCCAUAAAUAUACACGAUUAUUAUGAGUCAGGAAAAAAGAAUCCAAGGAGUAUGAUUGGAGCAAGGCGGGAAGGCUGUGGGAGUCUCAGGGAAGCGUCUGACCUUCCUGGGUCUCAGGGUUGGCUUCCUGAAAGAGAUGACGCCUAAGCUGAGUCCUGAAAGAGAAGAUGAAAUUUACCAUGUGGCAGAGAGCAGCGGAUGGCUGGGAAAUGCUGUGAAAUGGAAAGCUAUUCAAUGUCCCUGGCCGUGAGGCUGGUAGUAUGGGGGGUAGACGGGGAGAGAUUAGCAAAGCCUUGAGGACAUGGGAAGAUCUUGGGCUUUAUCUAGAAGGUAAUAGGUAGCUAUGGAAGAGUUUAGAGCAGAAGAGUGACCUCGUAACACCUGCCUCUUUUUUUUUUUUUUUUUUUUUUGAGACGGAGUUUCGCUCUUGUUACCCAGGCUGGAGUGCAAUGGCGCAAUCUCGGCUCACCACAACCUCCGCCUCCUGGGUUCGGGCAAUUCUCCUGCCUCAGCCUCCUGAGUAGCUGGGAU